rnacentral:rRNA from 1 species
GUCUUUUUGAAUUUAAUUUAAAGUCUAAUCUGCCCAUUGAGAUUUUAAAAGGCCGCAGUAUUUUGACUGUGCAAAGGUAGCAUAAUCAAUAGUUUUUUAAUUGAAAGCUGGAAUGAAGGAUUGGAUGAAAUAAGAACUGUCUUUAUUUAAUUGUAUUAAAAUUUAAUUUUUGUGUUAAAAAGCAUAAAUUUAUUUAAAGGACGAGAAGACCCUUUAAAGCUUAAUAUUUAAAAAAAUAAUUAUUUUAUAAGAAUAAUAAAUUUAUAUUUUUUUAAGUAUUUUAUUGGGGUGAUAGGAAAAUUUAUAGAACUUUUUUUUAAAAUUAUUAAACAUUAAUUUAUGAAUUUUUGAUCCAUAAAUUGUGAUUAUAAGAAUAAGUUACUUAAGGGAUAACAGCGUAAUAAUUUUUAAGAGAACAUAUCGACAAAAUUGAUUGCGACCUCGAUGUUGGAUUAAGAUUAUUUUUAAAUGCAGAAGUUUAAAAAUUUGGUCUGUUCGACCAUUUAUUCUUA